rnacentral:miRNA from 1 species
UACGUGUCACCUACAGCCAUGC